GCCCGCGGGCCCGGCGGCGGCCCGGCGCCCGCCUCCGCUUCUCCUCAUGAGGCGGAGGCGGGACGGGGCGCCGGGGGCUGCCGGCGGCCGCCGCUCCUCAGGCACAGGAAAAACUGCGUUUUGUCUUCCCUGCACUGGACUGGACUGGAUUCAGCAAGCGGAGACACUCAACUCUAAGGCAUAG
rnacentral:lncRNA from 1 species